CCCAGAAGCCAGAACAGCAAGAGGGAUUGUUGCUUUCACUGUGCAGUGGAUGAUCCCUCUUGCUGUUCUGGCUUCUGAG